rnacentral:tRNA from 1 species
CGGAUGUAGCCAAGUGGAUNAAGG